GCUAUUAUUACUAUUACGAUUAUUAUUAUUAUUAUUAUUAUUAUUAUUAUUAUUAUUAUUAAUGUUAUGUAUGUUAACUUUUGAAUCGCGUCGAGUUGAAAGUGGGACGUGCAAUGUUGCUGUACGAAAUCAACGUUAUUUCCGAGCGCAAUUGUUAAUCUGCUUAGAGAAAUCGCGACCCCGUGAAUAGUGAUAGCGACCGAUCGUACCCAGGGGGAAUGAUCCUUGGAUCGAAACGACGAGUUGGAUGGAAAACGUUGCACAAAGAAACUUCCGACGCGACACGUUUCAUCGGCGUGGCUGACGCGGUGACGCAACCAGAAACUUCAAAACGGCGAGAAAAGGCGCGGACAAUGAGGGAGGCAUCCUUUGGUUGCGUCACUAUGGCUGACGAAUACUUGCAUUCAGCAUCGAGGACUCAACCACCAUUUUUCAAUUAAUCGAAAUUCGUGGAGUACAUGCUCACGCGCUACGCCACGGUGUAACGAGUAUGUACAGGCUGGCCUAAGUACGUGUGACGAGCUAUAACUUCGUUGUCAGUAAACGAGAGAAAGGAAACGUAACGUCAAAGGAUAAAUAUGAAUGAUUCAAAGUGUACUUGAGGUUCAAUGUAUGGAAAAAAAAUUUCCAUAAAAAAAAUAAUGCAGCUACCGAUUGCACGUGCACCAUUGCACUUAUAAAAAAAAAAAUAUGAUUCUACAACAUGUAGAUUGUACAUGUGCCCAUAAUCAUGAAAGUGGUCCAAGUCAUAUAUUUCUUGAAAAAAGAAUUACAUUGAAUUAAUUUAGAAUAUUAUAUAAUUAAAUUUUGACUUAGACCAUUUUCAUAAUUAUGGACUCAAAUACGGUAUUGAACCACUCAUCUCCCUCUGACAUUUUUCUGUAAAUACACCGCUAACAAAGUUUAUACCCCGUUACACUCACUUGACCGACUCUGUACAUAAAGUACAAUAACGAAUAUGCAUCGUGUUUAUUUCAUUGACAUAAAUUUAUUUAAGCGUAAUGGAAGCCUCACAUAGUGGCCUAUGACUUUUGCACAAUGCUGCAUACCUGUUACCCGAAUCGCUUAACCCAUUUCCAUCGCACGGAAAAGCGGAAAAUUCGUUCUUAUAGCCAAUAUUUUAUUUGAAUUCAAUUUCCAAGUAAGUCGCGCGCAUAUAUACGCCUCUGACGAUAGUUGGCAGACAAAAAGCGCGCAUAUAUACGCCAGCGAUGCAAAUGCGUUAAGCGCACACGUUUGCGCUGCGUAAGCAAAGAAAACAUGUAAAUCAGGUAGCGCGAUGUUCGUGCAAUCAUAUCAUUCGGAUAGCGCAAGCAGGUGUUCUAUCCGAACAGUACAAACGUCUAGGUAGCAUAAACGCGUCGGUCGCACGCGUGGGCGUGUACGACGUAUCAAUUCCCGUGAGCGAAGGAGGCACGUUGUUUGAAAUAAUUGGGGGAUCGCCUGACUGUUACGAGAGAGCUACUCGAGAGUUACAAAUUAAAAGUUGUUACUUUAAGUCGGUAAAAAAUGCUAUUUUAAAUACACGGUAUUCAUUGCAUCCGUAAUGUAUGGUUCGUUGCUCUUUUAAUCGACCAAGUAGAUAACACGCGACUUGCACUACGAAAGAACGAACAACUUUCAACAAUUUAUAUUUGAUCGAAUCGAUCGAGAUGAGAUAUUUUAAUUAAAUUCAAAUAACGCUAUCGUUGACUUUUAUUUGUUUGAAUUGUAAAGGGAAAUUCGUUCCAUAAGUUUUGCUUUCCAAAUACAGAUAAUAGUCGAAUAAUCAGAUUAGUAGAAAAAGUGUAAAAUAAUUCAAUAAUAUUCCGAAUCAUUUUUUGCUUUAUGUAUAAUUUAUACAUAACAAUACAUAUCUAAUUAUUGAAAUAAACGUGUUUGCUAGAGUUUCCAAAGCAACACUGAUAUUUAUAGUCUUACAAACAAUUUUAUCAAUUUCAACGUAUCGACCCGUUGUCCUAGGGUCCUCUUCGGGAUUAAUCUGUAUAAAGUGAAAAUAUAUCCAGUUACGGUACAAAUAGGGUACUAUAUCAUUUGAAUUCUAAUUACGAAUCAUAGGUACAUAAUGGUGGCGCCCCCAUUAUUCGAAUAAAUUUCACCUUUUUCGCAAUGUCUAUCUUACUUUGGCUUAUUUCUUCGUUAAAAAUCGCUCAUACUAUUUUUUCAAUGUACACACGAAGGAAAAAGAAUUCCACUUAAAUUUCGUCGUGUUAUCAAUGAAACGUGUUUCCACGCUUCCAUUUUUGGAGUCUUCGGACAUUCCCCACGGAGACAUGCUGGUACGAUGCUCGUAAGUCGACGAAGCAUAUCCAAUGUCGAGCAUAAAUAUUCGCACGGAACAGUUGUCCAAACGAAACUAGUUACAGAUGUGAUAGAAAUCAUUGCAAACAUUUGAUUUCCAUCCGAAUACAAUUUUCCUAAACCUCGGCAUAUUUAAUACAUUCUGAAAUUUAGAAUGUAAUAGAGUAUUCUAAAACGUAUUGCAUAUCUGGAAUCUUAAUUCUAGUUUUCUUUUUUAAUUCAUGCAGCAGUUUCAUAACCAAGUUAGAACAAGAAAUUUUAUUAUAUGAAAUGUAAAAAUGAUUCGUUGAGUAAGUUUGUUCCACAAACUCGUUCAAAUGACAUUUAUUAACUGACUACUGCAACAAAAUCUAUCUUCAAGCAUGAUUUAUGGAUCUUCUUCUAUCGUUCCGAGAAAGCAAUUGCAUUCCUCUGCGAGACCAUGCUGGUUCUUCGGAUGCAAAAAACUGCGCACAUCCACGUCUGAUGACGUCAUUAUUGUUGAAUCAUCACCUACUCGAAAGGCGUGCAGAUUGCCCAGAAAAGGUGAUCCGAAGCCUGGACUGGGUGAAUCGUGCAGUGUUUGAUAAGAAAAUUUUAGUUUCGAAAUCAAAUAUUUGCAACGAUUUUGUUCCUAUCUCCAACCGAUUUUAUCUCGACGAUCGACCUCGUAUAAAAAUAUGCGUUCGACGCUGUGCGUGAAAGGGAACAACGAAUUUAUCAGAGACAAAAUAAAAAUGGAGGGAGAUCCCUUUUCCGCGGUUUUCCGGUUUGCUGUUAUCGGCGCGAGGUGCACACGGAACCAGGGAACGGGAACACGGGAAUAGGGACCGGGAAACAACUUCCUCUACUUCCUGCUGCGAUUCUGUUUCACGCGCGCUUCCGGCCGUCCCCCCCGCGCGCUUCUGUUUCUACGUCGAGCGAGAGUGAAAAAAAAUGGAAAAUACGCGGUUUUCGAGUAUAUUACGUGAAAGUAUCGAGCGACGACGAAGAAGAAGGAAAAUAAAAAAAUAUAAAAAACAGAAACAGUCACACAAGACGAGAAAGAGAAAAGAGAGAGAGAGAAAGAAAGAACGGAUGUUUCGAUUCGCACGAGCGCAAUAAAAGCGAAGGAUGAAUAUGAGACGUUCUCUUACGAGUGGAAAGAGUUUAUAAGCGGAUGGAUUGAUUUUACGACGAGCGACCUACGAUGUACAUGUGCGAUAUAUUAGUCUAAUUGUAAGAGCCAGUGACGAUUCUACUUACGUCAUUUCGAAAUGAAAAUAAACCCUUUUUUUUUACGGAAGUAUAACCGACGACCACGAAGCAGCCACUCGUUAGAAUAACGUCGUAUAUUUAGAAGAUACGAAACAAAAAUAAAAUUACGUCUACGAUUGAUUUUGAAAAAAUCAUAGAACAAAUUGGAUAAUUCGUUAAAGUCUAAAUAUAUUUCUUUGUCUAAGAAAAAUCGCUGUGCGUUAAAAUCCAAACGAACUUCUUAGCCAACCUAAAAGUAUACAUUCAACUUACGCUAUGUAUAUUUUACGUACGUUUUCUAGUUAUCGCGAUUUCGUUGAAAAAGUGUCACCUUCGGUUAAAAGUGACGCGAUUAAAAUCGUCACCGGCUCUCCGACUAUACUACGUUUUCUUUUAUUUUCGAUGACGACUGCUGCUUGACGAUUUAUCGAUACGACGACUAUAUGGCGACUAUAUGCGAGAGCGUAGACGGUGUAUGUAUAAAAUGUAUUUUAAGCGUGGACAAGAAAAAAAAAAAAACAAAUCAAUUUACACUUACAGUUUGCUGUAAACGAGUAACAAUACUGACGCGGGUUGUGCACGAGGAAAUGAAACGUACACAAACGUACGUUCGGUGGGGCGGGCCAUGGGCCAAUGGAGAAUCGGAUCGAGCCGCGAUCGCGUUUAACCGCGUGGAAAACGAAUUUUUCAUCCCACGCCUUGUUCUUUUUCCUCCCGUUUUUCAUCGUCCUCUGCGUGCACGCGGUUUAUCCCGUUGUGUCGCCGCCGAUCGAUCGAAUUCCGUCGUUUUUGCACCCUUAACGAAGGCUUUUUAUGAAACGGCCUCGAAACACCCAGCUCUGCUUCCGAAAAUUGUUCCACGCUUUUGUUCGUACUUUACCGAUCGGUAGCCUGUUAACCCUUUAGCUUACGACGAUGUGCGAGACACGCGAUAAAGGAAUUCGAUUCGAACAUGAAAAGGGAUUUUAUACUUAACACGCGCGGUCCCAGAGUAAAUCGUAGGUCAAGGGGUUAAUCUGCUUCUUUUGCUGAGACAGCCAAUAAUUUGUUAUCUAUCAUUGAGAUAACGUUUAAACCUUUUUGACAAUAAGCAUUGUACCUUCGAAGAAUACCAAUUUGACGAAUUUGUUAAAGUUUAGGAAAGGGCUUAUAAAAAACAAAAUGGGGCUUGGGAGCUUCGUACUUUAACAUACCAAAAUGAGUAAGAGCAUCUGUUUAAACAAGAACGAUAAAUUAUUGAAUAUAAGGGCACGAAAUUAAUUUUUACAUCCAAUACAUAGACGGGAAGUGUCAUGAUUUUUAUUUGAAACAUUAGAAAAGAAACGACGACAUUUUCCAUUACAUUCACUACAACCUUCGAUUCGAUAUAGAAUAUUUAUCUGGAAUUAUCAAUUUGGAAAAUAUUAAUUAGACACUAGAAUCUAACACUGCAUCCAUUGAAAAAAAAGAGUGAUACAAAAGAACGCUUCAAUUUGAUACUUCGUUAAAAAAAUGGUCAAAGAUAUUCCAAAUAAUGUGAGAAAUCCCAGAAGGUGAGAAUACGGGUUCUCUUGCAAAUGAAAAAAAAAAAAAAAGAAAGUGCACGCAGAGAGAAGUGGAAGAAAAAGAAUCCACAGGCGAACGAAUAGGCGUAAGAAAACGAAACAAGGAGUGCCAAAUCAUCCGUGACUUCCGUCCCACUUGGGCAAUAACGAGUACACAAACAUGGCGAGAGUGCGAACGUUGCCACAUGUCCUCCAAUAAUCGUAAGAAUUCUUAAUCUGUCCUCUGCGUCGAUUCUUUUUCGUGUGCCGUGGACGAGGAACGAACGUUGGUUGCGAAAAUGCUCGCGCAUCCAUUACUUUUUUCGCCAAGGUUCGUUGCUCGUCGCGUGCAGCGACAAAACGUACGAAACGAACAAAUAAUUCAGCAGCCAUCCAAAGGAAGAGAAUAAGUCGCGAGCAUAUUCGAGCGACGCUUCACGAUAAACCGGUGCUGUUCACGGGCCGAUACAGGCAAAAUUCUUAUUUAGAUAUAAAUUGUGAAUAACGAAUAAAAGUUACGUAAUUAUCUAUCGGUUACUCGUUGAAUGAACAUUAUUAUUUCGAUUAUAGAGUGAAAUGUUUCGCGAUAAAUAAAUUGAACCAUUCGAUAGGAUGAACGUCGAUCGAUAUUUAUUCGUUAUGUAUUACUCGAAUAAACUUUUGCUCAUCUUUGAUCACGGGUGGAUCCCCUUGCGCAGCUUUAUUCCCCCCUGUACGUGAUGUAUUGUGUUUGUGUGUAUGUGUAUGUGUGUUUGCGUGCGCGUGUGCACGCAUAACGUAACGCGACGAUUAACUUAGCGUUCAUGUAUAUAAUAAUGGGAAACAGAAUGAGAGGAGCUUCGUAAGUUUAUCGUGAACAGCGCUGCAAUAAACGAUCGUCCCUCGAGCGAUCGAUGUAAAUAAUGAUCUAUUCGGAUCAAAUAAUUUCGACACUCGCAAUCAGUGCCUGUCGUUUCGUCGACGAGAACGCGUUACCAACGAACGAGAUACAAAAAAAAAAAAAAAAUUAGAUACGAACGAUCCACAGUCCUUGCCAACGGACGAACCGAUUAAAUAAAUGAAAACGAACUCGCAUCCGAUUCUCCAUAUUGUGGACGCUUUCACAAAAAAACACGACAAAUCGGCCGCGAUUACAGUUCUGACGGCGAUUUAUUAAAAAAAAAAAAAAAAAAAAAGAAUAAUAUUUAUUCCAACGACUUGCCAGUUUCGUUGCACGGUACAUUACGAAGUAAGUUCGAGAGAGAAUGAAAA